CACAUAUACUUGAGGGUAUAUGUAGUAUUUCAGCAAAUUUACAGCAAUUUUUCAAUGUAUAUUUUAGUUAUAUUCUACCAGUAGUACUUGGAUUACAUUUGCUUAUAAAAUAUACAGAUAUUCAGUACAAACAAUCAUAUAUUUUAGUUUCAAAUGUGUCAAAUCUAGACUAUAUAAAGAAUGUUAAUCUAUUACUCUGAUGAAGCUUAGAAAUGUAAAUGUGCAAAAAUAGAGAAAGGACAUAGAAAGCACAUGGAGUGAUGAUCUUUUAAGCACUUCCAUGAUAAGAGAUGCAGUCUUCAGCUCUGGUGAACACAAACAGAAUCCAAAAGAAUUAAGCACUGCAGUGUGAUAGAUGGAUGGAGGAGAAGGUACCUGGGUCAGGUGAUAAACCUUUUUACUGCUGAUUCACCUGGUACUUUUCCACUCUAACCUGUACAAAGAUACUUCAGGAAAUGACCACAUAGAUUUCUGGCCUAAUGAUUUUCAUUUUUAAUUUUCAUUAUAUCAUUUUAUUCCCCCACUUUGGGAGAUUCGUGUUUUAGUUCACUCACAGUUCUGCAUAUUAUAAACACAAACUUCAGUGCUGUCUUGAUAUAUGUAUUUAAUGAAAUAUUAACUGGAUGGCCUUUAUAGAAACAGAAUCACACAAAAGAGUUGUAAAAAAAAGGCAUUUGGUGUCAUCUGUGCCUCCUUUUUCUAGAGAUAAUUCUAUCCUUUCAAUUUACUAAAAAACUAAUAUCAAACACUACCAUUUACUUAACUGUUUGUUGUAGGACAAAUAGAGAGCAGCAAAUAAAACCAGUGAAGUCUAUACUUCCUACCACUACAAGAUGUCUAGGUGUUAUUAUGCAUUCCUCACCAUAGGUCAGUUGCUUAGCGACCAGAGAAGUAGGGAACUAUUAAUUGAAAGUGUUCUGUAUUGCUGGCAAUGCUUGCUAUAGGACGCUGAAUUUAGGAACAAAAAAUAUUGUCAGAGAAAAAUGCUGCAAGGGAUGAAAAAAAAAGGAUUGCAGCAUUAUCUUACUUGAAUUCUUUUUGUUGUUGUUCACUCUGCAUGUGGUAAGUUUUCAUGACAAAAUGUUUUCCUUUUUUCUGUCUUGCAUAAAAAUAGGAUUAGAAUUGAUUUUAUCCUUAAGAAAAAUGAUUUGUAUCAGAACUGUGUGGUCUAUUGAAAAUAGGUAAGCAGAAGACAAAGGAGGAAGAAGAGGACAAAGGAACCUUAGAAACAGCAAUAGGUUAGAUUGAGGACUGUUCACGACUCUGUGGUGUUUCUGAUGCUAAUAUCUUAGGAUAGACACAAAAAGGGAGAGAACAGGAAGAGGUACAAAACCACACAUACACACAGGGAAGUAAAAUUGAAAACAAAAUAACAAUCUUCUAGUUGCUACGUUGGAAAUCCAUUCAUACCAACUCCCAUAAAUGGGUUGUAAACAUUUUCUACCAGCCUUUGAAGCAUGGGUGUAUAUUAAGUAAACAAUCAAUCAUUUCUAUAUAGUAUAUAAUGCAUGUGCCCUUCGAAAGAAGAUGGCCAGUUAUUAAUGACUUUUAAUUAAUAACUGUACUUUAAAAGAGAAGAUGUCCUUGCUAAGACCAGGACUGACUAUGAAACUAGCUCAACUCCAUGUUGCCAUAUUUACUUCAAGAAUUCAGAGAGGAUGGAGAGAAGGCUCAGUGAUAAAGAGUACUGACUGCUCUUCCAGAGGACACAGGUUCAAUUCCCAGCAUCCACAUGGCAGCGCACAACUGCCUGUAAAUGUAGUUCCCGUGGAUCUUAUACCCUCACAAAGAUAUAUAUACAGACAAAAAAAAUCAAUGCUUGUAAAAUAAUCAGGUGCUAUAGUUCUACAUUUCUAGACUUAUGUGUGAGUGGACAUGUGUGUGUGUUUGUUUGGGGGUGUGGGUGUGUGACAGAGAGAGAGACAGAGACAAAGAAAGACAUAGACAGACAGAAGUGUUUCAGAUCACAGGUCCCCAAGCACAUCAACUUGCUGUAGUGAUCUAGAGUGAAGUUGCAAGGACAUAGGCUCUAAGCAAAUCUUGGAGGAGUAAAAGAGACUCUUGAAAAGACUCAUACAUUUGAUAAUAAUUUUUUUAUUUAUCAAAGCUUGAUACAUAGUAAGCUAAACAUAUAGCUCAGUGUUUUGAAUUCGGACUGUGUUUGUGAAAAGUUGUAAUGUAUGUCUUGCUUUAUUUAUGUAUAAACACUACUCUGACUUUAGGUACCCUCUUUUCUUCCCUCCCUGUUAUUUUUCAUGAGGACACUUAUAAUUGAGCUUGGAAUUCCUUCUGUACCAGAAAGAGCAUGCCUUAGAUCCUUUCCUACUACAUCUGCAAAUGUCCAUAUCACAGGGUGUGGCAGGACUGGCCUAGCAGCUAGGAAUGUUGUAAGGAGAGACAGUAGUGCACGGACCCACCAUUUGGCUCAAGAACUGGCCCUACAAAGCAAGUGUAUGAUACAAUGAUCUGCCAUGGCCAUGCUCACAUACCUGCUGCCCUGCUGCGUCUCUAGUUCUGCUACUUUCUGCUGUUCCAGUCUGUCAUUUUUCACUUCCAAUUUCACGAAAACUUUUAAAAAAAGAAUCCCCUCAUAAAACAUGCCUUUUAAAGUUGUUUCAGAGAUAAUGUUUCAUUCUGUAGGUUCAUACUCUAUUCCUUGGAACAUCCAGAUGUCCCACAGGUGCUACGGUUUGCUGCAGUCUUGAGUCUGAAUCAAGAGGAGUAUUUCUUAAU